rnacentral:rRNA from 1 species
GACGAACGCUGGCGGCGUGCUUAACACAUGCAAGUCGAACGGAAAGGCCCUGCUUUUGUUGGUUGCUCGAGUGGCGAACGGGUGUGUAACACGUGAGUAACCUGCCCUUGACUUUGUGAUAACUUCAGGAAACUGGGGCUCAUACCGGAUAUGAUCUCCUGCUGCAUGGUGGGGGUUGGAAAGUUUCGGCGGUUGUGGAUGGACUCGCGGCUUAUCAGCUUGUUGGUGGGGUAGUUGCUUACCAAGGCUUUGACGGGUAGCCGGCCUGAGAGGGUGAACGGCCACAAGGGGACUAAGAGACGGCCCAGACGCCAACGGGAGGCAGCAGGGGGGAGUAUUGCACAAUGGGCGGAAGCCUGUGGCAGAAACGCCGCGAGCGGGAUAACGGCUUUCGGGUUGAAAACAGAUGUCGACUGUGACGAAGAGUGAGUGACGGUAAUGGGUAAAGAAGCAACGGCUAACUACGUG